rnacentral:rRNA from 1 species
AGUGAACGCUGGCGGUAGGCCUAACACAUGCAAGUCGAACGGCAGCACAGUAAGAGCUUGCUCUUACGGGUGGCGAGUGGCGGACGGGUGAGGAAUACAUCGGAAUCUACUUUUUCGGGGGGGAUAACGUAGGGAAACUUACGCUAAUACCGCAUACGACCUACGGGUGAAAUCAGGGGAUCUUCGGACCUUGCGCGAUUGAAUGAGCCGAUGUCGCAUUAGCUAGUUGGCGGGGUAAAGGCCCACCAAGGCGACGAUCCGUAGCUGGUCUGAGAGGAUGAUCAGCCACACUGGAACUGGGACACGGUCCAGACUCCUACGGGAGGCAGCAGAGGGGAAUAUUGGAAAAUGGGCGCAAGCCUGAUCCAGCCAUACCGCGUGGGUGAAGAAGGCCUUCGGGUUGUAAAGCCGUUUUGUUGGGAAAGAAAAGCAGCAGGUUAGUACGCCGCUGUUCUGACGGUACCCAAAGAGUAAGCACCGGCUAACUUCGUG